GGAGGCAUUGUGGUGUGGCUGUGCGCACACCGGAGCGCUGUUUGGCGUGUUGGCCAUCGUGGCGCACGCUCGUUCUGCAGUGUAAAGGUGUCGAAAUACUGUCGCCGUGGGGACUGGGCUGCCCCGCUGGAAGCCCCUUGUGUGGGUUUGUGCAUCCUCGUGUUUGGACCAGGCAGAAGUCGGGAAGUAACUCCGCUGCUUGGCCUGCUGUGACGCUGUGCCGGUGCUGUGGGCUCCGGGUGGCUACCCAAUCCCUGGUGGCGGUUCUUCACGUUUUCAGUUUGUGUGUGUGCAGUGUCACGGGUGUUUUAGUUUCCCCCCUCCCUCAUUGGGUUCGGGCCGCCGAAGUAACCCAGCACUGUCCAUUCCCCCUUCUCCUUUGGCCCCGUGUCUAACAUUAUGUGCUUUAGACAGCAUUUAUGGAACAUUCUUUUAGUCAU